UACAGAGGGUGCGAGCGUUAAUCGGAAUUACUGGGCGUAAAGCGUGCGUAGACGGUAGCGUAAGUCAGAUGUGAAAGCCCCGGGCUCAACCUGGGAAUUGCAUUUGAGACUGCUCUGCUCGGGUGCGGAAGAGGGAAGCGGAAUUCCCGGUGUAGUGGUGAAAUGCGUAGAUAUCGGGAGGAACACCAGUGGCGAAGGCGGCUUUCUGGCCUGUUCUUGACGCUGAGGCGCGAAAGCUAGGGUAGCAAACGGG
rnacentral:rRNA from 1 species